UACGUAGGGUGCAAGCGUUGUCCGGAAUUAUUGGGCGUAAAGAGCUCGUAGGCGGUUUGUCGCGUCUGCUGUGAAAACCCGAGGCUCAACCUCGGGCCUGCAGUGGGUACGGGCAGACUAGAGUGCGGUAGGGGAGAUUGGAAUUCCUGGUGUAGCGGUGGAAUGCGCAGAUAUCAGGAGGAACACCGGUGGCGAAGGCGGGUCUCUGGGCCGAUACUGACGCUGGAGGAGCGAAAGCGUGGGGAGCGAACAGG
rnacentral:rRNA from 1 species